UACAGAGGUCUCAAGCGUUGUUCGGAUUCAUUGGGCAUAAAGGGUGCGUAGGUGGCGCCAUAAGUCAGGUGUGAAAUCUCGGGGCUCAACCCCGAAACUGCACUUGAUACUGUGGUGCUGGAGUACUGGAGAGGAGAUUGGAAUUUACGGUGUAGCAGUGAAAUGCGUAGAUAUCGUAAGGAAGACCAGUGGCGAAGGCGAAUCUCUGGACAGUUACUGACACUGAGGCACGAAGGCCAGGGGAGCAAACGGG
rnacentral:rRNA from 1 species